rnacentral:misc_RNA from 2 species
AACGCACCUUGCACCCUCUGGUAUUCCGGAGGGUAUGCCUGUCUGAGUGUCAUGUAGACUCAACCUUUCGGGUUCUGCCCGGCUGGUUGGAUUUGGGUGUUGCCUAUUGCUGGCUCGCCUUAAAUGCAUUAGCGACGUGAAGGGUUUAUCCUGGCGUAAUACGUUUCGUCAGUCUGGACUCUGAGCUGCGCUCAUAAAGACCAACUAUAUUGUAACUCUGGCCUCAGAUCAGGUAGGACUACCCGCUGAACUUAA